rnacentral:lncRNA from 1 species
AUCCCUCUCAUUCUCUAUCAGAGAACGGCCGCCUCCCCUCUUGUCCUCUCUCGUUUCUCUCUCAAUAAACUGGUGCGCCGCAGCCGGAAGUGGUGACCGGCCAGGCGGCAACCAUUGCUGGACCUUCACCUUUUGUUCAACCCCCCUCAACCCCUGUCCCUCGUUCCACCAUUCUCAUUGCUGUUGCACCGGCGACGAGCGACUGGCCGUUUACAACCAUGGCAAUAACCAUUGCCUUCGUCCUCGUCUCUGUUAGUCUGUAGCUUUCCGGCGAUUACUUGUUUGUUUUCUUUUGAAUCUGACCGGAGGGGCCUGGAUCUGAUGGAAACACUUUUUCGGACAUGAUACUAGGUUUGCUUGCUUGUUACAAAUUUUCUUUUCUAUCUUGUCACCUAGAUCUGAGGAAUAAUGAAGAGAAACAAUAAGUGGACGUUUGGACAUAAGAAUUGUAAAUUUUUUUAAAAAAGUGAAUUUUUUUAAGUAAAAAUAUUAUUUGAAAAUUAGAGUUGUGUUUGAAUAUGAAUAUAAUUUGGUGUUGUUUUUGAAGUUUAGUGAUUAAUCUGAUUGGAAAUUUUGAAAAACGGUUUUUUGAAAUUUUUUAAAAUUUUAAAAAAUUUCAAAAUGUAUCUCCAAGCGAAAAUUAAAAAAAAGUGAAAAUUUUUUGAAAAAAGAAAAAAAUUUCUUAUGUCGAAACGUGUUCUAAAUAAUCCAGUCAUCGGAGUGCAGCCGGAAUCUAACCGAAAUAUUCUCCGGUGAUUGUUUCCCGUUAGCCUCUGCUACUGUUUGGCUAUCAUGUUCGUUGCUGUUGAGUUUUGGUAGCCUUUGGUCCUGGAUUGAAUUAAUCUUAUCAUUUUUGGGAUCUCUUUCCCAUGAUAAAAUAUGCUUGAUUCAGGGAGUUCCAUUUUCGGACUGUGAGAUGCUAAAUUGCUGCUGAGUGUCGCUGAUCCAAAAUACACUAGGUCGUGAUGGCGCCUAACGCCGUCGUUAUGUAAGCUAACAGUGAUUAAUCAAUUUAAUUACUCAUUUUAUUACUUUUGAAAU